UACAGAGGUCCCAAGCGUUGUUCGGAUUCACUGGGCGUAAAGGGUGCGUAGGCGGUCGGGUAAGUCUGAUGUGAAAUCUCACAGCUUAACUGUGAAACUGCAUUGGAUACUAUUCGGCUUGAGAGUUGGAGGGGGGACUGGAAUUCUCGGUGUAGCAGUGAAAUGCGUAGAUAUCGUGAGGAAGACCAGUGGCGAAGGCGGAUCUCUGGACAGCUCCUGACGCUGAGGCGCGAAGGCUAGGGGAGCAAACGGG
rnacentral:rRNA from 1 species